AUUUGCGGGCCGUUCAGCCAAUGGGAGGGCGUCGCCCCGGCCCGCUCCCUUUUUCUGGGGCUACAGGCGCCUCCUCGGCACUGCGGUCGCCUCCUCGAGCCAUGCCGGGCUUUGCGGGCCUGUAGCUCUGCGGGCACGCGGGACCCACUCCGGCCGCACCCCCUGCACGCCUCCCUCUCACAGCCACCGGUGCACACCCGCACCGCGCCCGCGCCCGCUCCUGCUCCUGAGCGGCCCCACUGAAUCCAACGCGGCGCCCCGCGGUACAGGGACACCAAGGCCAGCCUAUGGGCGUUCCCCGAUAACGCGAGUUGGGGGCGCCCACGCCCCCCAUCCCUGCCUGCAUGGCUCGGCCGCCGCUCCUCAGGGAGCUGCCCCCGGGCUACGCACCCCCAGCUCGAUCGGCAGCACCCCAGAUCCCACUCUGGCUUCGUGCUUACUUCCAGAGCCUGCUCUUCUCUCUGGGCUGCGGGAUCCAGAGACACUGUGGCAAAGUGCUCUUCCUGGGACUGUUGGCCUUUGGGGCUCUGGCAUUGGGCCUCCGUGUGGCCAUCAUUGAGACAGAUCUAGAACAGCUUUGGGUAGAAGUGGGCAGCCGGGUGAGCCAGGAGCUGCAUUACACCAAGGAGAAGCUGGGGGAGGAAGCUGCAUACACCUCCCAGAUGUUGAUACAGACCCCGCGGCAGGAAGGGGAGAAUGUUCUCACGCCUGAGGCACUUGGCCUCCACCUCCUGGCAGCCCUCACCGCCAGUAAAGUGCAAGUGUCACUCUAUGGAAAGUCCUGGGAUUUGAACAAAAUCUGCUACAAAUCAGGAGUUCCCCUAAUUGAAAAUGGAAUGAUUGAGCGGAUGAUUGAGAAGCUGUUUCCGUGUGUGAUCCUCACUCCCCUCGACUGCUUCUGGGAGGGAGCCAAGCUCCAAGGGGGUUCUGCCUACUUGCCGGGCCGCCCCGACAUCCAGUGGACCAAUCUGGAUCCAGAGCAGCUGCUGGAGGAGCUGGGCCCCUUUGCCUCCCUUGAGGGCUUCCGGGAACUGCUAGACAAGGCACAGGUGGGCCAGGCCUACAUGGGACGGCCCUGUCUGCACCCUGAUGACCUCCACUGCCCACCUAGUGCCCCUAACCACCACAGCAGGCAGGCUCCCAAUGUGGCUCAGGAGUUGAGUGGGGGCUGCCACGGCUUCUCCCACAAGUUCAUGCACUGGCAGGAGGAACUGCUGCUGGGAGGCAUGGCCAGAGACCCCCAAGGACAGCUGCUGAGGGCAGAGGCCCUGCAGAGUACCUUCCUGCUGAUGAGUCCCCACCAGCUGUAUGAGCACUUCCGGGGCGACUACCAGACACAUGACAUCGGCUGGAGUGAGGAGCAGGCUGGCACAGUGCUGCAGGCCUGGCAGCGGCGCUUUGUGCAGCUGGCCCAGGAGGCCCUGCCUGAGAAUGCAUCCCAGCAGAUCCACGCCUUCUCCUCCACCACCCUGGAUGACAUCCUGCACACUUUCUCUGAAGUCAGUGCUGCCCGUUUAGUGGGAGGCUAUCUGCUCAUGCUGGCCUACGCCUGUGUGACAAUGCUGCGAUGGGACUGUGCCCAGUCCCAGGGUGCUGUGGGCCUUGCCGGGGUGCUGCUGGUGGCCCUGGCAGUGGCCUCGGGCCUUGGGCUCUGCGCCCUGCUUGGCAUCACCUUCAAUGCUGCCACUACCCAGGUACACCAGGACUGCAGGGCAGACUUGAGUGCCACAGCUCAAGCCACUCAGUUCCUCCAGCUGCUUGCCCCUGUGCCCCUCCAGGUGCUGCCCUUCUUGGCGCUGGGCAUCGGUGUGGAUGACAUAUUCCUGCUGGCCCAUGCCUUCACAGAGGCUCCACCGGGCACCCCUUUUCAGGAGCGCACAGGUGAGUGUCUGCAGCGCACGGGCACCAGCGUCGCACUCACGUCCAUCAACAACAUGGUCGCAUUCUUCAUGGCUGCCCUGGUUCCCAUCCCUGCACUGCGGGCGUUCUCUUUGCAGGCAGCCGUAGUGGUUGGCUGCAAUUUUGUAGCCGUGAUGCUUGUCUUCCCAGCGGUCCUCAGCCUGGACCUGCACCGGCGCCACUGCCAGCGCCUUGAUGUGCUCUGCUGCUUCUCUAGCCCCUGCUCUGCUCGGGUGAUUCAGAUUCUGCCCCAGGAGCUGGAGGAUAGGACAGUACCAGUGGCCAUUGCCCACCUGACUGCCACAGUUCAAGCCUUUGCCCACUGUGAAGCCAGCAGCCAGCAUGUGGUCACCAUCCUGCCUCCCCAAGCCCACCUGGUGCCCCCACCUUCUGACCCACUGGGCUCUGAGCUCUUUAGCCCAGGAGGGUCCACACGGGACCUUCUAGGCCAGGAGGGGGGGACAAGGCAGAAGGCAGCCUGCAAGUCCCUGCCCUGUGUCCGCUGGAAUCUUGCGCAUUUCGCCCGCUAUCACUUUGCACCCUUACUGCUCCAGUCACACACCAAGGCCAUGGUGUUGGUGCUUUUUGGGGCUCUUCUGGGCCUGAGCCUCUACGGAGCAACCUUGGUGCAGGAUGGGCUGGCCCUGACAGAUGUGGUGCCUCGGGGCACCAAGGAGCAUGCCUUCCUGAGCGCCCAGCUCAGGUACUUUUCCCUGUACGAGGUGGCCCUGGUGACACAGGGUGGCUUUGACUACGCCCACUCCCAAAGCGCCCUCUUUGAUCUGCACCAGCGCUUCAGUUCCCUCAAGGCUGUGCUGCCCCCACCUGCCACGCAGGCACCCCGCACCUGGCUGCACUAUUACCGCAACUGGCUACAGGGAAUACAGGCUGCAUUUGACCAGGACUGGGCUUCUGGGCGCAUCACCCACCACUCGUACCGAAAUGGCUCUGAGGAUGGGGCCCUGGCCUACAAGCUGCUCAUCCAGACUGGGGAUUCCCAGGAGCCUCUGGAUUUCAGCCAGCUGACCACCAGAAAGCUGGUGGACAAGGAGGGGCUGAUUCCACCUGAGCUCUUCUACCUGGGGCUGACCGUGUGGGUGAGCAGUGACCCCCUGGGUCUGGCAGCUUCACAGGCCAACUUCUACCCCCCACCUCCCGAGUGGCUGCAUGACAAGUACGACACCACCGGGGAGAACCUUCGCAGUGAGUCCAGGGGGAGCCCAGCAAGAGCCUCGGCCUGGGCCCACACAGGCCCUACCCUAAGGCCCUGCCCACUGCUCCCUGUGCUCACUGCUCCCUGUGCUCACUGGCCCCCCCUUCCUCUCCCUGCUGCCCCCUCCCAUCUAGUCCCGGCGGCCCAGCCCCUGGAGUUUGCCCAGUUCCCCUUCCUACUGCAUGGCCUCCAGAAGACUGCAGACUUCGUGGAGGCCAUUGAGGGGGCCCGGGCAGCGUGUGCCGAGGCAGGCCAGGCCGGGGUGCGUGCCUACCCCAGUGGCUCCCCCUUCCUCUUCUGGGAGCAGUAUCUGGGCCUGCGGCGCUGCUUCCUGCUGGCUGUCUGCAUCCUGCUGAUGUGCACUUUCCUCGUCUGUGCCCUGCUGUUGCUCAACCCCUGGACAGCUGGCCUCAUAGUACUGAUCCUGGCGAUGAUGACCAUAGAGCUCUUUGGCAUCAUGGGUUUCCUGGACAUCAAGCUGAGCGCCAUCCCCGUGGUGAUCCUUGUGGCCUCUGUAGGCAUUGGUGUCGAGUUCACGGUCCACAUGGCUCUGGUGAGCACAGGCAAGGGGGAGGGGCGGGCUAGCUGAUUCAAUGUACAAGAGAUGGUUAUCAAGCGCCUACUAUGUGCUGGGUACAAUUCAAGAAUUGGGGCUAUAAUAGCAAUACAGUCUUUACCUUCAAGGAGCAUAUAUUUUAAGGGGUAGAGAUAGACAGUAAACAAGUAAAUGAAUAAAUAAGUAAGCAGCCAUUUUAAGAAAGAGGAGGGGACAAAGACCUCACUAGAAUGAGGUAAGGACAGAAUGAAGGUAAGAACAUGGGAAUCAACAAUUCUCUUGGAUGGUUUUACUGUGAAGGGGAUCAGAGAAAUGGGACGGUAGCUGGUAGCAAGUGGGUAAAGGAGGAAUUCUACCGAUACAGAGAUGGUAGGACUGAAGCAGGCAGGCUCUCCCAAAGCGUGUUGUCUGGCGGAGGAGUGGGAGGUGGGGUGGGGGCCACAGACGAGCAGAAAGCACCAACACAAACCUGGCCAGACCCCACAAACAGCUCCCUUCUUUUUUCUCCCAUAAUUGCCCUAUUAUGGUUCUGACUAUAAGAACAGUAUACACUCCCUGGGGAAAAGAAAGUCUGUACAUGGACAAGUACCAAGAAAGAAUUAGAAAUCCUCUGAAAUGCUACCCUGAGAAGUAACUGUUAUCACUUUGGUGUCCAUCCUUCUAGACCAGAGGUCAGCAAACUUUUCCUGUAAAGGGCCUGAUAGUAAAUAUUUUAGGCUUGGCAGGCCAUAGAGUCUCUAUUGCAACUCUGCCAUUGUAGCACUAAAGCAGCCACAGAAAAUAAGCAAGUAAAUAGGUGUGGCUGUGCUUCAACAAACUUUUAUUUACAAAAACAGGUGACAGGCCAUAGUUUGCUGACCCAUCCUGCGCAUCUCUCUGUGUCUCACUAGGCACAUCUAUACAGUGUUACCUGAAUGGACUCAUGCAUGCUUCCUGGACACUUCCCAGGAACUCGGUUCACCUGGCCUUCUGUGGGCCAAGGCAUGGGGCUUCCUGACCACCCAGGGUGGCCGGAACCUGCGGGCUGCCCAUGCCCUAGAACACACAUUUG